GGUUACUCCUUAGGUGUGAAGAGAGGCAUGAUGGGAAGAAGGCUGUCCCUUGGUAGAGGAAACCAUAUUUAAUAUGGAGGCUGCUAUUCCAUGACAGAAAAAACCUAGGAACUACCUCCAGAAGAAGACUCCAGCACCCCAAAAUCUGGUAAUACUCAA
rnacentral:lncRNA from 1 species